GACUACAUUUAUUUGGGGAUUUUGUAUCUAGGGAAGAUGUAGUAUUAUUAGACCAAUGAAAAUUGUCUCUCUUGCAAAGUUUUAUCAUAUUAAAAAUAAAUCCUGCAAACUGAAAAUAAUAGUUGAAAUGUAGUUGAAGCAAAUAUUAUAAGAACUCUACCUCAUUUAGAAAAUAAGUGUUUUACUUUUUUUUUAAGUUUCAUUAUGGUUCCUUAAUGAUGCAUUUGGGCUGUGAUCAAUGCUAAGUCAAGAAACAUAAACAGUCUGUGCAUCGUGAAUAAUGGUGAACCGAUGAUCAUUGUUCAUGUUUCUAAAAUUUGAUGACCCUAUUGUGGCUUUUUGUUUGAUCUUUGUUCGCUUAUACCUUGGUAAUUGUCCAUCUACAUUGAAAAGUAAUCAAGCAGAUUGACUACGGUAGUAUUUCUUUUCAGCAAUGAUUAGAAGAACUACA
rnacentral:misc_RNA from 1 species